UCGUAACUUCUAUUUUCAAUUUAUUUGGAUAAUUUAUUGUUAAAGAUGAAUUGGGGUCUAUAUAUUAUUCAUCUAUGCUAUAAUUCUAUAGUUUAUUGUUUAGGGUUUUUUGCAUUCACCAUUUAUUUGUUAUAUUUUUUUUUUCUGUUUGAUUGCGAAUAAGGAUAAUGGAAGAAAUGUGGUUGUUAUCAAUAGAUGUGAGUGUAGUAUAUAUAUUUAACUAGUUUUAUGGAUUUUCUAAAUGACAUACAUGACGAGUUUGUGAAGCAAGAUGUAUGGUUACAUGACAAUUUCAGAGUCUAUUUUAAGAAUCCAAGGACCAAAAAAUUAGUGAAAUUGUAUGAGGAUACAUAUGUUGAAUUUAUGUGGGGGUUGAUUGGAAUGGACACUGCUGAGGUAUUCAUAGAGGAGACCCAACAUCCCCCUAAGUUUGUGUUAAAAUUAGUGAAUGAUUUGAGGAAAGCAAAGAAUAUUGUUGAGGCUGAGAAACUUAGAAAGAUUGGUGAAGAAAAGGAAAGGGACAGGGAGGGAGAGAGAAGAAGGCAAGAAGAAGAAGAGGCUAUGAGAGAAUUGGAGAUUCAAUUGUCUUUUGUGGCAAUUAAAAUAAUAGUGUAUAAUGUGGAUGAUUUGAGUGCCAUGGAGUAUAUGAGAGUUUUUUCUCAAGAUUAGGAAGAAAUUGAGAUAGGAGAGUUAUAACCACAACAUGUCCCUCCUCAACCCUCCCAUUCUUCACAAACACACUCCUCUACCACCCUUCCAUCCACCUUCAUCUCCCACUGAACAUGUUUACCUACCGCUAACCCUCCCCUCCAGCAUCCCCAUCCACUAAACAACCCCCACAUUCACACUCACCUCCCUAGCAUUCCCCUCCACAUUCACAGUCACGUCCUCAACCUUCCCCUCGACAACCAUCCCCUCCACCUCCCCAAACAUGCCCUCCACAUCCCCAACCUUCUCCUCCACAUUCACACUCACCUCCCUAAACUUCCCCUUCUCCAUCCUCACCAUCUAGAGUACCCUAAUUAUCACAUUCACCGCACAAACCUUCCCCUCCACCAUCCCCAGGAUCUGAACAAACUCCACUACCACACUCACCUCCCUAAUCUUCCAAAGUUGAUGCUGCAAAAAAAACAAGUUCAAGGAACGGACUCAAAACUGCUAAAACCACUACGAACAGGGUCGCUACAUAUGUACCAAAGAUUAGGGAGACUGUGAGAGCAAUAAUGAAGCAUAUAGAACCUGCUCAACAACCUAAAAUGCAUGUGGAUACAGAGGGGGAGGAAGAAGAGCUAGAUUCUGGUGAUAGUGAAGAUGAUGAUUAUGUAGGGGAAGAUGAGAGGUUUAAGGAAGAGGUUGAUGCAUAUGAUUUAGAAUUAGAGCAUGAAUAUCUAGAAGAUGAAGAAGUGGAUGAAUUGGAGGAGAAGGAAUUUAAAGACUACUUGGAUGAUGGAUUUAGAUAUGUUGUACACAAAUGGUAUACUUGUGGGGGAAAUGGUUAUUUUGUCAGGUGAAGCUAAAUAGUUGGAUGAUCUUCUUAACCAAAGACCACUUCCGCGGUGUCUUUAAGGACUUUUGCAUUCAAGAGGGGUUUGUUGUGAGGGUUGAAAAGGCUGACAAACAUAGCUUCACCAGCUAUGUGUAUCAUUGAGGAAUGUGAAUGAAGAAUCCAUGCAUCCAAAUUGAUGGAUGGCAUAAGUUGGGCCACAAAGUCUAUAAUAGGUGAGCACAAGCUAUGUGUGAGGUUGGAGGAGAAUCCAAUAGUAUCUUAUAUUUGGUUAAUAACACAUUUAGGGGAUGUAAUAGGGGAAAAACUUGAUAUACGUGUGCACUCAUUAUAAAAAAAGUGUGCUGGGAGAGGUAUACGAUAAAAGUGAAGGAAAAGCUUCUCUACAAGGUGAAGUGCUUCACAAAGAAGCAGAUGUAUUGAGGAUUUAGUGAGUCAUAUGGCUUGCUACCGGCAUUUGCUGAGAUGAUUAACCAAACUAGCCCUGGUAGUUAUGCUUUAGUGACUAAGACAACCAAUUCUAGAAAUAGCACACCCAAGUUUAAAGCUUUCUAAUUCUCUUUUGCUGCUCAGUUCAAGAGCUUCCUAAGGGGCUGCAGAUCUAUUAUUGGAUUUGAUGGGACACACAUAAGUGGCUUAUAUAAGGGAAUCCUAUUUGUUGUGAGUAUUAAUGGAGACAAUGAAAUAUUUCCAAUUGCGUAUGGGAUAGUGGAAACCGAGAGCAAAGAGAGUUAGAGCUAUUCUUCAGAAACUUGAAGUUGAAUUUCCAGUCCAAAGGUGUCAACAAGGAUGACUGGACAUUUAGUAGUGAUAGGAUGAGGGUGUUUAGGGAGCAUUAUUGGAGGUGUUUCCUAUAGCUACUAAUUGCGAAAAAUAUGGAUUCAAUGGCCCUGCUUUCCACAAAUUCUUCUGGAUUGUUGCUAAUGCAUAAACUUGUAUGUUCUACAAAAAAAGUCAUGGAGAAGAUAAUUAAGUUGGACCCUGAAGCUACAUAGUAUCUAGACAAGAAUGAAGAACAGUGGUCUAGCUAGCUAGGAAUGUAUUGACUCUAUUGUGUGCUGUAAUCACAAAACAACAAAUCUUAUUAAGUCAUUAAUGCCUGUACAAAGCCAUUUAGAGAUCUUCCAGUGCUUACUUUGUUGGAAGAUAAGUCUUAUGUGCUGUUUUCUUUUUUUAAAGUCUCCAACAAAUUGUAUGAUGCUUAUGAUUGGUAUGGGUUUAAUUACAACUAUUAGGGCUUGGUGUAUGAAAAAAAUGGAGCUAGAUUUGAUAAGGUUGUUGAUAUGGAACCUAAUCACCUCACCAAGUAUGGCACUAAGUUGUUGGAGGUGAGGCUGAUGAAUUAUGGUUUUGCCAUGUUGUUCAAGCUGGUGGAUGGGAGUUUGAGAUGAUUGGUGAUCAUGUGCAUUUUCCUAUUAGGCUAGAUACUAGGACGUGUGAUUGUGGUAAAUGUCAAGACACUUGUAUAUCUUUAUAACAUGGUUUGAGGGUUAUUUUUUACAAGAGGCUUGAGCCACGUAACUGUGUCUGCCUACUACAAGGGGGUUGCAUACAAACUGACCUAUUCAAGCCACAUAAACCCCAUGCCUUACUCAUCUCAAUGGCCUGAGUUUGAACUCCCUAAUAUUAUACCUUACUAAUUCAAAAGAAGUGUUAGAAGGCUUGCUAUACAGAGAAGAGAGGGUCAAAUGAAAAGAAAAAAGGGAAGAGGAACAACAUCGUGAAGUAUGUCAACUGCAAGGAUUUUGACCAUAAUGACAGCACAUGCAAGGGACGGGAACAUAGAAGCAAAGAAAGGAGUCUGCUACAUUAGCAUCACAACCACAACCAUCUGAGGGCACUGCUCAGUAGGGGCUGAUGAGAAAGAGUGUUGGUCCAUCCACUUCCAAGGGCGCAUAAAAAAAAAAAUACAAAGGCAAGCAUGUAGUAUGACUAAUUAGAGUGAAAAACUUCCUUUUGGUGCAAUAAAACUUCUUCUUUUUGGUACAAAAUUGGAUUCACAAUUUUUUUGCAUGAAACAUGAAAAUAUGAAAGUUUAUAAUAUGGUCAUAUCUUUUUGUAAAGCUACUUGUAAUUUCAAACAAUAGGCAUUUUUUUUUUUGUAAAGUUACUAUUAUUAUGAUAUUAUUGCAAAUGGAAUGUUAUUGCUUACGAAUUUGGUGCUAUAUUACAAUUUUUGCUUCAUAUCUUUAGUACAAACAAAGUAAAAGAAACAUGAAAUGCCAAUUCUGAUUGCUCCAUGCAUUAAUUUUUGUUGUUUGAUUAUGUUCUUCAAUUGUUUCAUUUCGUCUUUCAAGUUGACAUUACUUGCCUCAUUUUCCUCUUCUUAUCUCACGUUGGAGUUAUGCUCAAUCGUACCAACAGACCGCCAAAAUGUGUUGCAAUCAUCGCACUUGUAGUACAAUCUUUGUUGAUUCAUUGAGGAAUCUAAGCUCCAAAUUGUGAAUUUUUUCCUAUAUUUGCAAGUUCUAUUAGGGACUCCAAUGUAUGAAGACUCAAAGUAAAUAGAAUUAUCAGAUUGUGAACUCA